rnacentral:rRNA from 1 species
CAAGAUGGCAUCAUGAGUUCACAUGUUCACAUGAUUAAAGGUAUUCCGGUAGACGAUGGGGAUGCGUUCCAUUAGAUAGUAGGCGGGGUAACGGCCCACCUAGUCUUCGAUGGAUAGGGGUUCUGAGAGGAAGGUCCCCCACAUUGGAACUGAGACACGGUCCAAACUCCUACGGGAGGCAGCAGUGAGGAACAUUGGCCAAUGGGCGCAGGCCUGAACCAGCCAAGUAGCGUGAAGGAUGACCGCCCUAUGGGUUGUAAACUUCUUUUAUAAAGGAAUAAAGUCGGGUAUGUGUACCCGUUUGCAUGUACUUUAUGAAUAAGGAUCGGCUAACUCCGUGCCAGCAGCCGCGGUAAUACGGAGGAUCCGAGCGUUAUCCGGAUUUAUUGGGUUUAAAGGGAGCGUAGAUGGAUGUUUAAGUCAGUUGUGAAAGUUUGCGGCUCAACCGUAAAAUUGCAGUUGAUACUGGAUAUCUUGAGUGCAGUUGAGGCAGGCGGAAUUCGUGGUGUAGCGGUGAAAUGCUUAGAUAUCACGAAGAACUCCGAUUGCGAAGGCAGCCUGCUAAGCUGCAACUGACAUUGAGGCUCGAAAGUGUGGGUAUCAAACAGGAUUAGAUACCCUGGU